UAAUUUUAGUUACUUCCUAACAAAUUCUUCUUUCCUUUCUCUCUCUUCCUUCUCAGUCCUAACUUCUUUCUUUUCUAAAUUUCUCAGGUUAAUUCCAUGGAGUAUCUAGCUAGGUCUACUGUAAUUAGCUAGAUCUAUUGUAAUCCCCAUUGAUGAACAGUUGUUUCCUUGAUCAAUAAAUCUUUCUUCCUUCUAUUUUUGUUCAAUUACACUAUUCUAUAUUUGUUCAUAACAGAUUCGGUAUCAGAGCAAGUCCUGGCACCAUGACAAUCCUAGAAACUAGGGCUAAAACUAUAGAUGAAAACAUAAAGAAAUUGGAGAAUCAAUUACAGAAUUACAUGUUAGAG
rnacentral:lncRNA from 1 species